rnacentral:piRNA from 1 species
UAACGACAGCUAUAGAUGCUGGAUG